CAGUGGGGAAUAUUGGACAAUGGGCGCAAGCCUGAUCCAGCAAUGCCGCGUGGGUGAUGAAGGCCUUCGGGUUGUAAAGCCCUUUUGGCGGGGACGAUGAUGACGGUACCCGCCGAAUAAGCCCCGGCUAACUUCGUGCCAGCAGCCGCGGUAAUACGAAGGGAGCUAGCGUUGUUCGGAAUUACUGGGCGUAAAGGGCGCGUAGGCGGUUUCGAUAGUCGGGCGUGAAAUCCCCAGGCUCAACUUGGGAAUUGCGUUCGAUACUGCGAGACUUGAGUGAGGGAGAGGAUAGUGGAAUUCCCAGUGUAGAGGUGAAAUUCGUAGAUAUUGGGAAGAACACCAGUGGCGAAGGCGGCUAUCUGGACCUCAACUGACGCUGAGGCGCGAAAGCGUGGGGAGCAAACAGGAUUAGAUACCCCGGUAGUC
rnacentral:rRNA from 1 species